CAGUGUUCGCUGCAGUAAGAAGAUGGUGGUUGUAAGUGAGCAGCGGCGUUGCAGCAGUCCAGACUCAUCCAAGAGGCAAGCCGGUGAUUAUGAUCAGCUAAAUGCCAGUGAUUUUUCCUGGGAAAAAAUGGAAGAGAAAUCCAGCUAUGGUAAACAGAAUUUACAACAAGUGUGUGAUAAUGUUCUUAAAUCGAAUUCAAAAACUGAGCAGGUGAUGGAGAAGGACAUUGAGAUGGAUUGUGAAUCUGAUGGAUGCAAUGCCCAAGAACCGAAAACUGAAAAUACAUUUGCUGUGGAUGAAUUGAGACUUAUUUCUCCUUGCCAGGGAACGGAAAAGAAUCAGAGAAUGUCCCGUUCCAGAAUGGUUGCUAUCAAGAGGUCUAAAGACUCCAGAUCGAGUUCUGUAUCCUCUUCAAGCAGUUCCCGAUCUGGUUCAGUGUCAUCUUCAGGCAGCUCCCGAUCAAGUUCUGCAUGCUCUACAGGCAGCUCCCGGUCAAGUUCAAUGUCAUCAUCUGGUCUUUCCCGUUCGAUAUCAGUAUCAUCCUCAGAAAGGUCGCAGUCAAGUUCAGCAUCAUCAGCAAGCUCCCGAUCGAGCUCAAUGUUAUCUUUAGAGCGGUACGGUUCAAGUUCAGAUGAUGUCUCUUUCUCUUCAAGAGGCAGAUAUGUAUCACGGAAGAGGAACUACAGAAGAUCAAGACGAACCUGUUCAAGGUCCCGGUCUAGAAGCUGGUCACGGUCUUGUUACCGAAGAUCCAGAUGUCGAAUGUCUUACCGGUCACCGCAAAGAUACAGGUCUAGAUCCAGAUAUUCUAGGUCAUACCGAAGACCAAGAUCCAGCUUGAGGUACAGAAGGUCCAGGUCCAGAUCGUGGUCUCGGUCCCCAUCCAGAUUCCGGAGUGGUUGCUAUGGCUUUGCAUACAGAACACGACCACGAUCCCACCAAAGGAGCCGAAGCAGAUCGAGGGACAGAUCUUUCCACUUAACACAAAAAGAUAAACAGAAGCUACUUGAAAUAGCAAAGGCAAAUGCUGAUAAAUUAUUGGGAAAGGGUAGCAUCUGCUUGCCUCCUAGUUUGAGGCCUGCCAGUCCUCUCAACAAUGAGAGACUUUUUGAAAUGAAAACUAACAGCAAUGCAGUGAAAGCACUGACCAGAAAGUGGUUUGUAUAUCACAAUCUGCCGUUACCUUCACAACACCACAAAAGACUCAACAUGGCCAGAAACACUAGUCACCCUACCAUACGUCGGAGCCAUAUCAGGUGACCACAAGACUACUGAGACCCCUCGGUAUCAGUAGUGCACAAACCAACAACCACCCUACAACAGCUACUGAUGAACAUAAAGGAUCCCAUACCCACAACCAGUAAAACCAACGUAAUAUACAAAAUACCAAGCGAGGAUUGUGAGAAACAUUGCAUAGGCCAAACUGUGAGAAAAUUGGCUGUAAAGAUACAUGAACACCAACUAGCCACCAAGAGACAUGAGCAGUUCUCACUAGUCUCUGUAUACAUGGACAAAGAAUGACACAAUUCAACUAGGACAACACAUCCUUAAUAACACAAGCCAAACAGACAUGCCAGGGAACUCCUGAAGGACUGGAAUUCCAACUGGAACUCCAUCAACAAACACAUUGAACUGGACCUGCUAUACAAAUCACUGAAAAACAAAACCAGAAGUGAUGCCAACCACUCAAGCAAAUCAAGCAUGUAGGUAACAAGCAAGAUUGAACAUGAAUGCUUCAGCAGAGGCACACUGACGAUGUUACCUUGCAAGGUGACGAAACAUCUGCAGUCAAACACACCGGUUCGGUGAGCAAGUCUACAAUCUCAUGCACAACACGAGCUACAAAUCUUCUCAAAAACUUUAAACAUUAGUUUUUGUUACAUUUCCUGUGACUAAGAGAUGAGCUAUUUGGCUCUGCUCCUGGGUAACCCUAUAAUUAGUUACCUGCCCACCAUUAAUAUGUGGAAGGAUAAACCAGUGUACAUAAACUACUUUUACUGCUCCUCCUGUUUUUUGUUUAUUGGGUCAAGGAGCUUCGUGAUCUGUCAAGCCAGAAGUAUGGUCAAAUGGGCAACUAAGGAAAAUGUGGUAAGCUAGGUCUCUGUCUUGCCACUAAGAAGACAAGGCAGCACAGUAUGUUGUUCUUUAAUAUAUUGUAUUGCCUCUUAUAAAAGGAAAUUUUUCCUGAUGUAUCAUUAUUCUGACGUCCAUGGUAUUUAGUCCAGUAUGUUGAUGGUGAUAUCAGCAGGUGCAUCAUUUCUUCACGACCAGUAUUUUCAGAAUCAUUAUUGUUUAGAAAUAUUGUCAGAAUUUUUUUUAACGGAAAUGUAACUAACUACAUAGAAUACAAAGCGCAGAAAUGGUGAUUCUCCCCAAAUAGUCUGUGGUUGUUCAUAGUCCACGAGUCUUCUGCAGUUCUAUUUACCUCAUGUCUGCCUUUCAACAUAAUCUUAUGUUCCCUUUUUUCUUAUGUACUCAUCUAGUUUAUUUUUGGAAUCUGUUUGAGGUUGACCACUUGUAAUAAUUUCCACAUUCUAGACACACUGCCAUACAAGAUCUCUCCUUUUUCUAUUGAAUGCAUUCAUUCACAAGCAAAAAUGCCCUCUAUCCUGUCCAAGCUUUUCAUUGUUUUAAAAACCUUUUAUAAAGUCACUUUUCUUCUAAAAAUAAAAUCCUUAAAUCUUUCUUGCACCAUUCUUGAAUAUAUCUUUCACACUUCAGUUUGUGUCCUUUUAUCGUGUAGGGUCUCAGAUGGUACACCAUACUGUCCCUCAUGUGGCCUGAACGGGAUCCUGUACAAACUUAACGUUACUUCAUUACUUUCAAUUAUGUACCUUUAGAAAUUGAUCCCAGCAUUUUAAUUGUUUUACUGAUAUGCAUGGCUGCUUUCGAUUGCUCACCUGUAUCUCUAGAUCUGUUUAGGCUUCUACCCUAUUCAAUUUCUUAUUUUCUAAGGUGAUGGGUUUUUUAAUAUCAGUGUACAGCUCCUCUUUUGCCACUUAUUUGUGCAGUUUACAAGUUUUCUGAUGUAUCCAUAUAUUUAGCAUUCUUCCUGUUUAUGCCCUCCAGUUUGGAAUUAUCCCAAAUUUCAAUAUUUACUUUCUCAAGUACAUUGUUUGUUAUGAAUAAUAAUGGACCCAUCUUUUGUGGAGCAUCACCUUUUUCUGCUGUGGUGUAACCUGAAUAAUACAGUUUUUUUCUUACUCUUGUUUUCUAUUUUUAGCCAAUUUUCUAUUCAUCCACCAGUUUAUUUCAUGAUUCCACCUGCUCCCUGGCCUUUGUUACAAGCCUAACUGAGUGGUACCUUAUCAAAGGAAGUUUUGAAUAUCAGAUCUUUGCCGAAGAAGAGACCAACAGUUUUUGAAG